rnacentral:rRNA from 1 species
GACGAACGCUGGCGGCGUGCUUAACACAUGCCAGUCGAACGCUGAAGCUCAGCUUUUGUUGGGUGGAUGAGUGGCGAACGGGUGAGUAACACGUGAGUAACCUGCCUCCUUCUUUGGGAUAACGCCCGGAAACGGGUGCUAAUACUGGAUAUUCACUGGUCUUCGCCUGGGGGUUGGUGGAAAGGGUUUUUCUGGUGGGGGAUGGGCUAGCGGCCUAUCAGCUUGUUGGUGGGGUGAUGGCCUACCAAGGCUUUGACGGGUAGCCGGCCUGAGAGGGUGAACGGUCACAUAGGGACGGAGAUACGGCCCAGAGUAGUACGGGAGGGAGCAGUGGGGAAUAUUGCAGAAUGGGCGCAAGCCUGAUGCAGCGACGCCGCGUGAGGGAUGGAGGCCGUCGAGUUGUGAACCUCUUUCGCUCAUGGUCAAGCCGAAACAAUGGUUGUGGUGAGGGUAGUGGGUAAAGAAGCGCCGGCUAACUACGUG